UCUCAAGCGAUAAUGCGAAACACGCGGAGCCGCGCUCGCGUCGACUGCCCUUAUGUACGGAUGCUACGAAUCGCUCGAAGGUCGCGGACGAUCUUGUUUACGCGCAUAUACUCGACGCGUAUAUACGCGCCGCGCCGGGGUGAGCGAACGUCGAGCGCCGCGCGCCGACCGAGUUAUUUCACUUGUUUCUUCGUGCGUAAUACGCGCGUAUUGUGCGUACACACCGCGCGCCUAGGAAAUCGCGAAUCAGUCUCGAAACGGUGAGCUAUCGCCGCGCGUCCCGCGCUUCGUUCCGUAACCUCAUUACAAUCGCGAAAGAAUUGAACGUGGCCUCUUUCUCGUCGUGCUAUCUCUGAACGAUAUAAGUAUAAUCCCGACGUUCGGAUUCAAGUGUAUCUCGCGUCACGCGUUAGAUCGUAAUUUAAAUACAUACGCGUCGCGUCGCGUUGCUCUAAACCCAGAGUAUCAAACGCGAAGUAUCAAAUAAAUUGUCGGCUCGAGUGAUUCAAUUGGCGGAAAAUCGCGGGAUGAUUGGUAAUAUUUCGAGUGAUUACGUUUGCGGUUAACAUCGGGAGUGUUGUGAAAAAUGCAUUGUUUUUAUAAAUGAGUGCAACGACGAGAUCUGAGAGAAGGAGACUUAGAUUAGGAAACAUCGGUGGAGAGUAGAUCCACAACGUAGUUGCAACUCCGCUGCUGCGCAUCGAAUUGAAAUAUCUCGCUAAUUUUCGCAGUCGACCGGAAUUAAAAUAACCUAACGAUUCAAGAUGAUUACAGCAAAUGAUAUUUUUAAUGCAAGCACAAAUAACUCUGACUAUUACUAUGACGAUGGAUACAUACCAUAUGAUCAAAGACCUGAAACUUAUUUCGUACCCAUAAUAUUUUUGUUAAUUUUGAUCGUGGGCGUAAUAGGAAAUGGUGUACUGAUUAUUAUACUACUAUGUCAUGCCGCUAUGAGAAAUAUACCAAACACGUAUGUGCUGUCUUUAGCUGUAGGGGAUUUAUUGGUGAUUAUAAUUAGCGUACCUUUCACAUCAAUUGUUUAUACAUAUGAAUCGUGGCCAUGGGGCGUAACUAUCUGCAAAGCAUCUGAAUAUGCUAAGGAUAUUUCGAUUGGUGUCUCAGUAUUUACUUUAGCUGCUUUAUCAGCUGAAAGAUAUUGCGCCAUCGUCAAUCCCAUCCGUCGCCAUAUAGCAGGUUUAAACGCAAAACCGCUUACCAUUUUAAUGGCUCUCCUUAUUUGGGUCUUUGCAAUUGUCGCAGCCUUGCCCGCCGUGCUCUACUCCGAAGUAGAAACUGUAAUAUUAGUUAACAACCAGACCAUUUUCUUCUGCAACCCUUUUCCGAAAAGUCUUGGGAAGACCUACGAAAAGGGUAUGAUAAUAUUUAAAUUUUUAGCAUAUUAUCUGAUACCGUUAUGCGUGAUAGCUGGUUUCUAUUUGGGUAUGGCAUGGAAUUUAGCGUUGUCAACCAGAAACAUAAUAACUCGUGUUAAUCUCCAUAAUGAUCAGAUAAAUGCGCGCAAAAGGGUGAGCAGAAUGGUAGUGUGUUUCAUAAUUAUUUUCGUGAUUUGUUUUAUGCCGCAUCAUAUAUUUAUGCUGUGGUUCCAUUUUAAUCCCACGUCUCAUGAAGAUUAUAAUUAUUCUUGGCAUUACUUCAGGAUGGUUGCUUUCUGUCUCAGUUUCAGCAAUAGUUGUGUUAAUCCUAUAGCUCUCUACCUAAUUAGCCGCACGUUUCGUAAAAAAUUUAACAAAUAUUUAUGCUGUUGCGUAUCGGCCCGUUCCGCUAGCUGCGAAAGAGAGAGAAUGGGAAACAGUAUAAUUCGCGGACAUGGUGUUUCUUCACAAAGAACUCGUCGAUUGUUUACCAGUUUUGGUUCCACCUUUCGGAGGCGUACUCAAGAAUAUAAUUCGACCGGAGUAUUUGAAAUGGGUAGCAUACACUAGGAAAAAUAUUAUGUUCUACGAAUCAAAAUUUUAUCGUGACAACAAAAUAAUUCAGUUAAAAUGAAAAACGGAAGGCGUGAAAUAAAUAUAGAAUUCAACGCAAAUUAUACGAGAUAUCAUGAUAUUCCACGUACCACUAGAUGCAGCCAUAAAAAUUAUUUUGUUACAGUCUAUUUAAACAUUCAUGAUUACUGGUUAUUAGUGCUCGCUGUGGUUUUACAAAAACUGAAAUUUAAUUUUGCAGGUAACAGAAAUUUUUACAAAUGUAUACUCUCUAUGUAAUUUUGAGAAAAAUGUUACGUAUUAAUUUUUUAACUGUAAUAUUGGAGGCCUUGAAUGUGAAUCGCAAAUAAUAUUAUUGGAUUGAAUGUGUGUAACUCAGCAAAUAAAGUUAUGUUAUAUGUGAACUGUGAUUGUGGAUUAUGGUUAUCCACAUCUUUCUUGCGAUCUCUCUUUGCAAUCUCAUUGUAAACAUACAAUGUUAGAAGCAAAGGAAUUAUUUUAAAAAGUUUUGCUUAUAACAUGACUUUAUUUGUCGAAUUUAUACAUACACUAAGACACACAUUAAAUUUAAUAAUAUUAUUUGAAAUUUACAUUCAAGCACUAAACUUUCUUUCCUAGUGUAUAAAUGAUUACCGUCGAUUAAAAAUGUUUUUAUAGGUAAUUUAACUUAUGCUAUAAUUUAUCCAUCUAAUGAUUGAUGAUGGACAUUAAUGUUAAUUGCAGUACAAGUUGCAGUGCCAUCACUAAUAAUAAUAACGAACUAAAACUUCGUCGAGAUGCGUGUAAAAGUAAUUGGUUCCUCGAGAUAAAUUAGAUCUUAUUUUAGAUAUUUCAUAUUUUUUUUUAAUUUGAAUAGUUUAAGUAAACUGUGUGUAUAUAUUGUAUAUCUAUGUAUACAAGGUGCAACUGUGUAUAUACUUAUAUAUGUAUACAUAAAUAACUUAUAUAUGUAUAUAUGUAUACACACAGUUACACACAAUAUACAUAUACAUGUAUAAAUAAAUUAUUGAUCAAUGUAAAUUACAGUACCAGUCAAUUAUAAGAACAUCCUUAAUUGACGAUGGAUCUCUCUACACUAAGAAAAGAAAUUUAGUUUAGUUGAGACAUUUUUUAACAAUAACCAAAUAUGUUGUUUUAUAUGACAAAAGAUUUAGUUGCUUUCACAAAAUAUAUUUUUCUAUUUUGUGCCGUGGACCAAAUAUUUUUAUAAAUAAAAAGAUAAUAAGCAGGUUUUAGGCUUAUAUUAUUUUUGAAAUGUUUAUGGAAAGUAGAGUCCGACCGAAUAUUCGGUUUCUGCCAGUUUUGGCUAAAAAUUUAAAGAUUGGCUAAAUUUCGGCCGAAACUGAAGGAAAGUUUUGGCGACGUGACCGAAACUAACAUUUAUUAAUGUAAAACAAUUAUUUUUAUACUAAUUUGCCAAAAACUUGCUUAAAAAUAAUUUUAUGUUUUGAAAUUUUGUUGUUAAUAAAAUAAUAUGAUUUGUAAUGCUACAAAAAUAAUAUAACGAAUAAUAUGUGUUACAGUUUGUAAUAAAAAAAUUGUACUCUAAUAAAAAGGUAAUAAUAAUACUUAACACGUUAUAAAUGACUAAUAAUUAAUCAAUAUUCUUAAUGAAGAGAAAAAAAUAUGUAUGUAUGUACACACAAUGUAUAUUGGCUUGUGCAUGCGCCUAUACAUAUAUUCCUUUCUAGGAUUUUCAUAUGUUAUAAAAGUUUUUUCUAAAAGUUUCGAUUACGGUUUCGGAUUCGGCCGAAACUAAAAACCGACUGAAUAUUCGGUCUCAAUUUCGCCGAAACUAAAAAAAAGUGAUUUCGGUUGAAUUCUAAUGGAAAUAUUAAUUUGGAUCAAAGUUUCUGAGACCUGAUACUAUGACGAGUUUUGUUUCAUCCGUUUCGUUUUCUCACGCUCUUUUCUCGUGUAAUAUUUACUAUAAGAUUUAAUUUAACUGUGUGUAUGUGUGUGUUGCGCGUGCGAGGGGAUAUGUGUGUGUAUCUGUAUUAGUGUAUAAUACUAGCUACUUAAUCAGCGUUAUAUACAUACAUACAUAUACAUAUAUAUAUAUAUAUAUAUAUAUAUAUAUAUAUAUAUAUAUAUGUGUAUUGAUGUAUUUGUGCAUAUAUGUAAAUUAUACAUAUAGAGUUCCUUUAAUUGUAAGUACGCUCAUUACACGUUUACUUCGUCUAUCGCUCGAAGUUUAUAAGAUAAUAUAUUGAUUGAAAAUAUGUGAUACAAUCAGCGAUAUGAAAUACAAAUCAAUAAAAUUCUGUUCUGUAACAAGCUUCUUAUUAUAAUAUGUUUAAAUUAGAUUUAUGAUUUACCCACUAAAUACGAAUAAGUAAUUUAAGUACUUUAAAAUAAUUUAAAUUAACAAGAACGUUCAACAUCAACGUCUGUUUACUCCUUGUAUAUCAUUAAUACGAAAUACUUCGGAACAACUUAUUCGAUAAAUUUUCAUAAAGGAAAAAUCAAUUUCACGUAAUUUAAAAAACUAAUUUCGAGACAUUAAUACGUUGCUCGAAAACAUUGUACAUUUUGUAAGAUGACCAACUCUAAGAUAUAUUGUAUAUUUUUAUAUAUGUUUUCCUUCAUAUGAUUGAACCAUAAUAAAGAUAACUCGCUGUGCGUAAUUUGACGCAAAAA